CUGAAUUAAUCCUUUGAAGGAUAUUCUACCUUGUGCUUUCUAGUGAAACUUGAUGUUUCGGCCUUAAAGAGGUUGGCUUUGAGUCAACGGGCCGAACGCAAAUCUUAUAAACCCAAUUCUUUAUAAUUUGACUGAAAAAUGAAAAAUGAUAACCUAUAUCA
rnacentral:misc_RNA from 1 species